rnacentral:rRNA from 1 species
UACAGAGGAUGCAAGCGUUAUCCGGAUUCAUUGGGUUUAAAGGGUGCGUAGGCGGACUAUUAAGUCAGUGGUGAAAGCCUGCAGCUUAACUGCAGAACUGCCAUUGAUACUGAUAGUCUUGAGUUUGGUUAAGGUAGGCGGAAUGUGUAAUGUAGCGGUGAAAUGCUUAGAUAUUGCACGGAACUCCGAUUGCGUAGGCAGCUUACUAGACCAAUACUGACGCUCAUGCACGAAAGCGUGGGGAUCAAA